ACCAUCUCACCUGAAGAAGAAAAUCUUCCCUGGAACUUGCAGGGUUAUCAGGAGAAAUAAGACACACUUGGCCCUGCUAAGGUUUCUGAUGCAGUUCCUGAAGUGACUGUCAGCCUUACAUGCUCAUUGUUUAUGUGCUAAAAAUGAGACAGAACUUCUAUUAAAUGGCAAAAGACUUCCAUUAAUAAAUCAAGUGAGUAAAAUGCAAUGAGCAUCAACACUUUCACCAGCAGAAGGUGGCCUGAAAACUGAUAACAGACUAAAUGAGCUACCAAACCAGAGAAGGC